UUGCUGUGAUGAAGUAGAUUCCUAAGUCAUUCGUAGUUUCCACCAGAGGUUGAAAGACCAAAGAUGGCCCAAGUACCUUCCUUGGAUGUCUGAGCGA
ensembl:snoRNA SNORD14 Small nucleolar RNA SNORD14